rnacentral:rRNA from 1 species
AGAGUUUGAUCCUGGCUCAGAUUGAACGCUGGCGGAAUGCUUUACACAUGCAAGUCGAGCGGCAGCGCGGUCUUCGGACUGGCGGCGAGCGGCGAACGGGUGAGUAAUACAUCGGAACAUGCCCAGUCGUGGGGGAUAACACUUCGAAAGAAGUGCUAAUACCACAUACGUCCUGAGGGAGAAAGCGGGGGAUCGCAAGACCUCGCGCGAUUGGAGUGGCCGAUGUCAGAUUAGCUAGUUGGUGGGGUAAAGGCCUACCAAGGCAACGAUCUGUAGCUGGUCUGAGAGGAUGAUCAGCCACACUGGGACUGAGACACGGCCCAGACUCCUACGGGAGGCAGCAGUGGGGAAUUUUGGACAAUGGGGGCAACCCUGAUCCAGCCAUUCCGCGUGAGUGAAGAAGGCCUUCGGGUUGUAAAGCUCUUUCGGCAGGAACGAAACGGUGAGCUCUAACAUAGCUCGCUAAUGACGGUACCUGAAGAAGAAGCACCGGCUAACUACGUGCCAGCAGCCGCGGUAAUACGUAGGGUGCGAGCGUUAAUCGGAAUUACUGGGCGUAAAGCGUGCGCAGGCGGUUGUGUAAGACAGGUGUGAAAUCCCCGGGC